rnacentral:rRNA from 1 species
UACAUGGGGUGCAAACGUUGCUCGGAAUUACUGGGCGUAAAGCGUGCGCAGGCGGUUAUGUAAGACAGGUGUGAAAUCCCCAGGCUUAACCUGGGAACUGCAUUCGAGACUGCAUUGCUAGAGUAUGGGAGAGGGAAGUGGAAUUUCCGGUGUAGCGGUGAAAUGCGUAGAUAUCGGAAGGAACAUCAGUGGCGAAAGCGACUUCCUGGACCAAUACUGACGCUCAUGUGCGAAAGCGUGGGGAGCAAACAGG